ACAGCACAUUCUUGGGUGAAAAGUCACUUGAAUGCCUGUUGGAGCCAUCACUAUGGAUUGCCGGCUAUUCUGACUUGGAGUUUGAGGCUGACAUCUGAAACCACAGGAGGAAAGGGGAUAGUUUGAAUCAGAAGGAUGGCUGGAAUGACCAGAUGCAUUUUACUUUAUGUUGCAAGGAUAAACAUAACCAAGGAUAGAAACAAUUUUGUGCCAGUUGGAAAAAAAAACUAUUAUGAUUUGAUAGAGGACUAAGAAGAAAUACCAGAGAAGUAGGAGGAAACCCAGAGGGAGAAUUCAUUCCCACAGAAACCAAGGAAAAAGAACAUUUCAAGAAAGACGUAACCGGGGAGGAAUUAAGGUGAGGACUCUGACACAUCCAGAUUUUGUAAGUUGCAUAGAAUGAAUUUCACAGGACGCAUCCAAUUCAUGGACUCUUACAAGUUUGUAUCAACACCUACAGCUCUGACCUCUGGG
rnacentral:lncRNA from 1 species